UACGUAGGGGCCGAGCGUUGUCCGGAGUUAUUGGGCGUAAAGCGCGCGCAGGCGGCCUCGCGCGCCCGACGUGAAAGCCCCCGGCUUAACCGGGGAGGGUCGUUGGGGACGGCGGGGCUUGAGGGCGGGAGAGGUCGGUGGAAUUCCCGGUGUAGUGGUGAAAUGCGUAGAGAUCGGGAGGAACACCUGUGGCGAAGGCGGCCGACUGGGCCGACCCUGACGCUGAGGCGCGAAGGCGUGGGGAGCGA
rnacentral:rRNA from 1 species